UACGUAGGGGGCUAGCGUUGUCCGGAAUCAUUGGGCGUAAAGGCGCGUAGGCGGCCUGCUAAGUCGAACGUGAAAUCCCUGGGCUCAACCCAGGAACUGCGUCCGAUACUGGUUGGCUUGAAUCCGGGAGAGGGACGUGGAAUUCCAGGUGUAGCGGUGAAAUGCGUAGAUAUCUGGAGGAACACCGGUGGCGAAGGCGACGUCCUGGACCGGCAUGACGCUGAGGCGCGAA
rnacentral:rRNA from 1 species